UGUGUCCUUUUUGAGUAAUUUUGGAUUAAUAUCACUUGAAAAUUUGACUCUGGACGGUUUUUUAGGCAGACGUUGGUUAGAAUUUCUAUGCCAUUUUUUAUCUGAAAAUAAAACACAUUCAUUUUUACUGUACACAGUAAUUAAUCAAAAAUCAUGGAGACUAACAAGGAACUGAAACAGGAGACAGAAACACAUGGAAAUGUAAACCAAAACAGAACAUAACCAUGACAUAAAUGUUAAAAAAGUAAUGUCUUUCAAAUAUAUUACAAUAUUGUUGUGGGAAAAAUGCAUUUAAUAGAGACAUCAGUAGCAUUAUAUCAAUGAUACUGCUCUUCAAUAAUACUAGGCUACUUAGUAAAAAGAUGGGUUACACUUUAUUUUAAGUUUCUACAUUAAUUUGGAGGUUCAAUGUGAAAUUAUGACUAUAUAAUGUGACGAGCGUCCCGAUUACCCAUCAGCGUCGUCCUGGAAACGGAUCAGGAUCACCUGCAAUCCCUCGUUACCGGCCGCUCGGUCACAGCUGAGACUCAUCAGCAGCCGCCACUUAAAGCCACGCCGAACCAUGCCACAAGUGAGUUUACUCUCCAUGAGCCAGGAGCUAAUGCCUUUCUCUGGUUGUUCCCUCAGACAGCAGCGUGUGACCGAGCGGCACCCACUUGAGCACAGGAUUUUGCACCGAACACGAACCCACGAGCAAGGAAGAGGACGAGAGUCGGCACGCACAGCACAGAGGCACCACCGCACUUGACACCCACCUGCUUGUUCACAAAUAAAUCCACCCUCCGGGGCAUUUAUUUUGCACUUCCUUGUCGUGUGAUUCUUCACCCCGUGACAAUAAAUACAUUAUAUUAAUAUGUGAUUAAUCAAUUAAAAAUGUGCGAUUAAUUAGUAUUUUUUAUUUGAUUGACAGUACUAACCUUAACCUUUUAUAGAUGUUACUGUUGGUAAUAUUAAUUCAUUUUACUGCUCAAUAUGCAUUUCAGUUUAAUUUCUAAUUUUAUAGGCCCCCUGGAAUAAGGUUGGGACAGCCCCCUGAAAAUUUUAAAUUCGAUAAUCUGGCCCUCAAAUUGAAUGGCCCUAUGUCUCUGCUGUGUGUUUUUCUGCAUCGUGGCUGAUUUGUAGAUUGCACCCAACCUCCUCCAAAUUUUUUUUCCUAUUUUUUCCUAUUUCCCAUUUAUUUCCUAUAUGGCAUUCAUUUUUGAUGUCGAAAAACACUAGUGUGACUACACUGUAGUGAUUGGUGUAAAAAUCUUUCAAAGCAUAUUUAUUUUGAACAACACCAGAAGGCUAAAAGAAAAAAUCAAUGGUGGUCUUCUGCAUCUUCAUAAUCUGCUAUUCUUAUGUCUCUUAAGCAUGCAGAUGUCCAGAAGACAUUUUUAUGGAGUUGAAAUGAGUUAUUAGGUGUGUUCGACUUGACACGGCAUUGUGCAGACCGAUUGCCAUCUGGAUCGAAGCAGGUGGAAUAGUCUAAAUAAAUUGCUAAUUGGUAAAGUUAUCACGUCAGUGCUGUUAGUUGCAAUAGAAAGAGUCAGCCUUAUGAGACACGCCUGGGACUGCAUUUGUGCUGGUCUAGCCUGGAAAAUAUGCUUUCUUAAUGCUAUUAAAGCAUGAGAAACAACAUAAAUGACACAGUUGUUGUCAGAUUUCAUUGGUAAUUUCAAAUAUGAAAUUUAAUUGUAUUGGUGAAUAGCUUUGGAGAAUAUGAAAUAGCUGCCCAAGAGGUGUUUCAAUAAUAAUAAUAAUAAUAAUAAUGUUUUAUUUAUUGAGCACCUUUCUCAAGCUCAAGGUUGCAGUACAAGAAGAAAAUGGGCUAGACAUGGCAUUAAGAAGAUACAGACAUAAGCACAUGCAUAAACAAAUACGUAUAUACAUAUAUAAACACAGAAACAUUAAACAGAGGUGACCUGAAAAUACUGUUAGAUAGAUAGGAGAUUUGAAAGAAGAGAUAGUAGAGCUCAACGCUUGAAUAGGAAAAAAAGAAGUGCCGGUACUCACCCCCUCCCCCAUCUUAUUUAUUUAUUUAAUUAUUCAUUAUUUUAAUAAAUAAGUACUUUUUCAUUUUCAGAAUUCACAAUAUAUGUAUAGUGCCACAAUCAAUCAAUCAAUCAAUCAAUCAAUCAAUCAAUAAUUAAAUAAACAUUU